rnacentral:lncRNA from 1 species
CAAUAAAUUGUCUGUGAUACUGUAGUGUAAAAUAGCUUUGUAAGUAAGCUUUAUAAGCAAAUUUUUAUAUGCUAGCUUUUUAUUGUACUGUUAUUUAACCAAUCACUCAAUGAUUUGUAUACUUUUUGAAUUUUAUAAAGUUUAAAUACUGUAAAUUAAAAAAAAAUACAACAUUUGUUAUUUAAGGAAUGACUGUAAUAUUUUUUCUGUCUAUGAAGAAAUAACAUAAAAAAUUUGGUGCACACUGAAUGACGCGCAUAAUGGGUUAUUUAACAGUGUGCACCACAUUUUUUAUGUUAUUUCGAAUAGACAGUAAAAAUAUUACAGUCAUUUCUUAUAACUUAAUUCUAAAUUCCAUUUGAAACCGUAGAAAACCAUGAAAAACGUUGAUGACGUCACGGUCACAUGACUAAAUUAUGUCUAUGGGCUGAUAACAAAAUAACGUCAGCCAAUGAGAAGACGUGUUACAUCCAAAAUUAAAUUAUUGAUUAAUGGAUUCCAAUAAGAUAUAUAUUAAUUAAAUUAUGAAAAACAGAAAAUUCAAAACUGGAGUUGAAUUGUUUAGAUUGA